CGGCCGCGCUCGCCCGCCGGGCUCCCUGCUUGCCGCCGAGGAGAUAGCAGGGGGGCGAGGAAAAAAGGACUACGAGGAAAUCUACUUCCCGGCGAGAGAGCCUUGAGUUCUGCAUUUCAACCUCAGGGCAACGUGGGCAGGGCCGGGCUGGGCCGGGAGCCGCAGCCCCCCGCUCCCGAGCCCGCCCCCGGGGGCGGCCCGGCGGCCCUGCAGCCCCGCCAGUGGCCGCGGGAGAUGACGGACAGCGCGGGGCCGGCGGCCUUUCCGCUGCCUCUCGCGGACGUGCUCAGCACCUGGUCCCUACCACAACAGCAACGCCCGCGUAAUACCUGCCAGGCGACUCCCAAAGAGCCAGGUCCUAUAAAGGAAGUAAAACGUGAACGGGAAUAAUACGGUGACGGCAGCGCACGGAAUAUCGGCGAGUGAAAUACGGAUCUGACGUCUCUGGUGUGUAUGAACGCUCCUUAUUACGUGAAAUAAUAAUAAUAAUCGAGCUAGAUUGCAGAGCCUUCGCAUAUGGCAGUCAGGAAUAGGGCGGAUGCUACAGGGAUCUCCCAGACAUUCGUCUCGCGUUGCAGACGUUUUGUGGAGGAAAGAAGAUGACCGCGGUUAUUUCGCACCUCUCUCCAUUUGAUCGGAAUACCCGCGGGUCCCUCCGUUCACUCCUCGGGUUUUCAACUCAACCAUUUCCUACGGCAGUUCUGUGUUUGUUUCAGGAACGCGAGGCGCACCUUCGGAACACCACGUGUGUAAACGGUGCGCUUCCAAAAGUCAGAUCCAUCACCUCUGCCGAGGGGGUCCCUCCGCACUGACACGCGCACACACCAAUUCAACCGCCCGAAAGCGAUCGCGUCCUUCAUUCGCUGCAGCCAGAGCCCUCCUCGGCGCGCUGACCUGACCCGCCGCGGCUAGUUUUAGGGCAGGAGGCGUUGAAUUAGCGGGACCCGGAUCCAACAUUUAAUUAAAUUGAUUACUUAAUUAAACAAAGGAGAGGAGUGCGUGUUUGUGAGCCCGAGGACCUGCAUUAGCAGCGCGCCCUCUCCGAAGAACGGCCGCCGGGAGCCCCGGCCGCUCCCUCGCCGCUGCCGCCCGGCCCUGGCCCCAUUACCUCCCGCUGCCCCCCUCCCGGCUCCCGGCGGUGUGAAGCCGGGCCGAGCUCCACGCAUCCUCUCGGUUCCAGCCCGGCCCCGCGGCUCCCGCACUCGGUGUCCCCGAGGGUUGCCCCGCUGCUCGGACGUGAGCCCGCGCUGCUCGCUCACUCUGUUUCUCUCCCAUCUGUGUCCAUUGUGUUCACAACUGUGUCCUUUCCUUUCGCCCCCCCUCCCCCCGAGUGUCUUCCAACCUGUCUGUUCCCCUCCUUCCCUCUCCCACCCCUCCACCCCGCCUCUGAUCUCCGGGAUAUUUGGUUUCUUUCCCUUUCUCAAUGUGUGUUCCUGAUGUGGUCCUGUCGGAAAAGCUCGUUUACUCUGCUCGGGUCUCCAGUGGUUUAAGGAUAAUGUUUAUCAGAAGUGAACGUGCUCAACUUGUUUCCAUUCAACUGCUGAGUGUGGGCUGAAAUACCAAAGGUCACAUCUACAGUGAGUCGGUAGAGGGCAGGGGGAGCCGAGAGGAAUAUGAAAACAUUGUAAUAUACAACAGCCUGUUGAUCGCUCGUGACCCGCCUGGCAAAAAGAUUUUUUUUUUUUUUUUUUUUUCAGGUAGGAAAUAAUUGAAGAAUUGAAGGGGAAAAGUGGCACGGAG
rnacentral:lncRNA from 1 species